rnacentral:tRNA from 1 species
GGUUCCAUAGUGUAGCAGUUUGCACAUCUGCUUUACACGCAGAAGGUCCUGGGUUCAUGCCCCAGUGGAGCCA